CUUGACCGACCCCAACAGCAGCGGCUCGUGCCCCUCGCGGCCCUGUCCGUACGUGGCCAGCAAAGCCUGCGCCUC
rfam:Micromonospora echinospora strain DSM 43816 genome assembly, chromosome: I